UGGCUGCGAAAAGAGUUUUAAUUUUUUUAUGAGACUGGCGAAAAUUACGGUCUCAGGCGACAGGCACAAUACGCUAAGCCCUUCAGGUUGCGUCGAGGCAGGCUGGAGGGUGACGUGUA
rnacentral:ncRNA from 1 species